rnacentral:rRNA from 1 species
GGCGGCGUGCCUAAUACAUGCAAGUCGAACGCUUCUUUUCCCACCGGAGCUUGCUCCACCGGGAAAAGAGGAGUGGCGAACGGGUGAGUAACACGUGGGUAACCUGCCCAUCAGAAGGGGAUAACACUUGGAAACAGGUGCUAAUACCGUAUAACAAUCGAAACCGCAUGGUUUCGUUUUGAAAGGCGCUUUACGGUGCCGCUGAUGGAUGGACCCGCGGUGCAUUAGCUAGUUGGUGAGGUAACGGCUCACCAAGGCCACGAUGCAUAGCCGACCUGAGAGGGUGAUCGGCCACAUUGGGACUGAGACACGGCCCAAACUCCUACGGGAGGCAGCAGUAGGGAAUCUUCGGCAAUGGACGAAAGUCUGACCGAGCAACGCCGCGUGAGUGAAGAAGGUUUUCGGAUCGUAAAACUCUGUUGUUAGAGAAGAACAAGGGUGAGAGUAACUGUUCACCCCUUGACGGUAUCUAACCAGAAAGCCACGGCUAACUACGUGCCAGCAGCCGCGGUAAUACGUAGGUGGCAAGCGUUGUCCGGAUUUAUUGGGCGUAAAGCGAGCGCAGGCGGUUUCUUAAGUCUGAUGUGAAAGCCCCCGGCUCAACCGGGGAGGGUCAUUGGAAACUGGGAGACUUGAGUGCAGAAGAGGAGAGUGGAAUUCCAUGUGUAGCGGUGAAAUGCGUAGAUAUAUGGAGGAACACCAGUGGCGAAGGCGGCUCUCUGGUCUGUAACUGACGCUGAGGCUCGAAAGCGUGGGGAGCAAACAGGAUUAGAUACCCUGGUAGUCCACGCCGUAAACGAUGAGUGCUAAGUGUUGGAGGGUUUCCGCCCUUCAGUGCUGCAGCUAACGCAUUAAGCACUCCGCCUGGGGAGUACGACCGCAAGGUUGAAACUCAAAGGAAUUGACGGGGGCCCGCACAAGCGGUGGAGCAUGUGGUUUAAUUCGAAGCAACGCGAAGAACCUUACCAGGUCUUGACAUCCUUUGACCACUCUAGAGAUAGAGCUUCCCCUUCGGGGGCAAAGUGACAGGUGGUGCAUGGUUGUCGUCAGCUCGUGUCGUGAGAUGUUGGGUUAAGUCCCGCAACGAGCGCAACCCUUAUUGUUAGUUGCCAUCAUUUAGUUGGGCACUCUAGCAAGACUGCCGGUGACAAACCGGAGGAAGGUGGGGAUGACGUCAAAUCAUCAUGCCCCUUAUGACCUGGGCUACACACGUGCUACAAUGGGAAGUACAACGAGUCGCGAAGUCGCGAGGCUAAGCUAAUCUCUUAAAGCUUCUCUCAGUUCGGAUUGUAGGCUGCAACUCGCCUACAUGAAGCCGGAAUCGCUAGUAAUCGCGGAUCAGCACGCCGCGGUGAAUACGUUCCCGGGCCUUGUACACACCGCCCGUCACACCACGAGAGUUUGUAACACCCGAAGUCGGUGAGGUAACCUUUUUGGAGCCAGNCGCCUAAGGU